rnacentral:rRNA from 1 species
GACGAACGCUGGCGGCGUGCUUAACACAUGCAAGUCGAACGGAAAGGCCCUGCUUUUGUGGUGUGCUCGAGUGGCGAAAGGGUGAGUAACACGUGAGUAACCUGCCCUUGACUUUGGGAUAACUUCAGGAAACUGGGGCUAAUACCGGAUAGGAGCUCCUGCUGCAUGGUGGGGGUUGGAAAGUUUCGGCGGUUGGGGAUGGACUCGCGGCUUAUCAGCUUGUUGGUGGGGUAGUGGCUUACCAAGGCUUUGACGGGUAGCCGGCCUGAGAGGGUGACCGGCCACAUUGGGACUGAGAUACGGCCCAGACUCCUACGGGAGGCAGCAGUGGGGAAUAUUGCACAAUGGGCGGAAGCCUGAUGCAGCAACGCCGCGUGCGGGAUGACGGCCUUCGGGUUGUAAACCGCUUUCGCCUGUGACGAAGCGUGAGUGACGGUAAUGGGUAAAGAAGCACCGGCUAACUACGUG